AUACGUAGGUGGCAAGCGUUGUCCGGAAUUAUUGGGCGUAAAGCGCGCGCAGGCGGUCUUUUAAGUCUGAUGUGAAAUCUCGCGGCUCAACCGCGAGCGGUCAUUGGAAACUGGGAGACUUGAGUGCAGAAGAGGAGAGCGGAAUUCCAUGUGUAGCGGUGAAAUGCGUAGAGAUAUGGAGGAACACCAGUGGCGAAGGCGGCUCUCUGGUCUGCAACUGACGCUGAGGCGCGAAAGCGUGGGGAGCGAACAGGAUUAGAUACCCUGGUAGUCCACGCCGUAAACGAUGAGUGCUAAGUGUUAGGGGGUUUUAAGCCCCUUAGUGCUGCAGCUAACGCAUUAAGCACUCCGCCUGGGGAGUACGGCCGCAAGGCUGAA
rnacentral:rRNA from 1 species